AUGGAUGGAAAAUAUCAGGCUCUGUUUUCCGGGAUUGGUAAGCAAAGGGACGAUGGUUCAGGUAGAGGUAAAGGAUGUGGUAGUGGUACUGCAAAAUCAUGGCAGCGAGAGGGGGAUUGGUUGUGUCCAAAUACAAGAUGUGAGAAUGUAAAUUUUGCAUUCCGAGGUGUCUGUAAUCGCUGUCGGGCAGCACGUCCUACUGAUGUUAGUGCAAUGGGGACAACUAAAAAUGAUGGAAAAUCUCAGACUAUUACUGUCGAAAUGACUACUGAUGAGUUGAAGAAGUGGCUUCGGUUCAAGGAAGGAAUCAUUGAUGAAAGGUCAACAACCAAGAUAUUUGCUACAUCUGCUAACCCAUGUGGUAAUACUUCGAAAUUUGUGAAAGGAAGUUAUUUUGAGACUGGUACACAGUGGUUAAUAGACUCUGGUGCGUCUAAACAUAUGGCCGGUUCAUAUAAGGAUUUCUGCAGUUAUACUCCUGAUUUUACAGGGCAAAAUGUUAGACUUGCUGAUGGUUCUAGCCAGAGUAUUAAGGGAGUAGGCACAGUUAAAUGUUGCCCAAAUAUGACUCUAUCAUCUGUUUUACAUGUUCCCUCAUUCCCAAUCAAUUUGCUAUCCAUCAGCUGCAUUACAGGAGAACUUAAUUGUGCUGUAAUCUUCUUCCCAACAUGGUGUUUAUUCCUGGAACUUGGGACUUGGAAAAUCCUUGGGACAGGAAUUAUGCGAGGUGGUCUAUACUACUUGGAUGAUGAUAUGGCACCUAUGGCUGCUGCUGUGCUAUCUCAGUCACCAUUUCUUCUUCAUCAUCGCAGGCUGGGACACAUAUCCUUUAACACCCUGGAUCUGGACAACGAGAUAGGGGGAGAUAAAGGUGAAGAAUAUAAUGGAGCAGCAUCCAGGAAUAUGAUUGUUGAAGUGAUUCCAGCUGCAGAUAUGUAUGACGAUGAAGAUGAAGGUACAUCAGAAGCUGAACAGAAACGGACACAGGGGGAGCUACGAGAUGAAUCAAAUGAAGCUGUUAAGUGGCUUAAACCAAAUGAAGAACAAGAAGUUCAGGUGUAUAAAAGGAGACAGUGGCCUAAACCAAAUGAAGAACAAGAAGUUCAGGUGUAUAAAAGGAGAAACCGAUCUGAGAAGGAAGUUAUUCCAUCUAGGUGUGAUCAUGAAGCUCAAGAAGCUCCUGCAAUACAAGCACAAGAAACCUUGCCAAGUGUGACACAAUCAGAUGUGCAUGAGUCAUCUCCUCAAGUUGAUGAGUUAGAUAUUCCUAUCGCUCGCAGAAAGCAGCCACGUUCCACUGCAGGGAAGUUACCAUCAAAUCUAUCUCAAUAUGAUAUUUCUAAUUAUGUCUCAUAUGUAUCAUUGGGCUCCCAAUAUAAAUCAUUUAUAGAUGCACUAGAUUCCACUCUACCUAUACCACGUGAUUGGCAGGAGGCGAAACAAUAUCCGGAGUGGAGAGCUGCUAUGAUAGAGGAGAUGACAGCACUUGAUAAAAAUAAUACUUGGGUACUCACUACUCUUCCUCCUAAUAAAAGGGCUGUUGGUUGUAAAUGGGUAUUUACUGUAAAACAAAAUUCAGAGGGAAAAGUAGAAAGAUAUAAAGCCAGGUUAGUGGCAAAGGGGUAUAGUCAGACUUAUGGAGUGGACUAUGAUGAGACCUUCGCACCAGUGGCGAAAAUGAACACCAUUAGGGCUCUCAUAUCUAUAGCUGCAAAUAAUAAGUGGAGGUUAUUUCAAAUGGAUGUUAAAAAUGCUUUUCUUCAUGGAGAUUUGAAAGAAGAGGUUUAUAUGGAGAUUCCCCCUGGGUUUGGUACACAAGAAACAGAGGGUAAAGUGUGUAGGCUGAAAAGGUCUCUAUAUGGUUUGAAACAGUCACCUAGAGCAUGGUUUGGACGACUUAGAAAGGAGAUAUGCUCUAUUGGUUAUCGACAAAGCAAUGCAGAUCACACCCUUUUCUUUAAGUACCAGAGUGGCAAGAUUGUCAUCCUUAUUGUGUAUGUUGAUGAUAUUGUGAUCACAGGCAAUGAUGAUGAUGGGAUAGCAUUCCUAAAGAAGAUGUUGGCCAAGUCAUUUGAAGUUAAGGAUCUGGGUUUUCUCCAUUAUUUCUUGGGAAUUGAGGUUGCAUAUGGAUCACAAGGCAUUUACUUAUCGCAAAGAAAAUAUGUACUUGAUUUACUCGCUGAAACUGGCAUGCUAAAUUGUAGACCAGCGACAACUCCAAUUGAGCAGAACCAUCGUAUUCGAGCAGAUUCUGGUGAUCCUGUGGACAAACAUCAAUAUCAAAGGUUAGUUGGUCGGUUAAUUUAUUUAUCACACACUAGGCCAGACAUUGCCUAUGCUGUUAGCUUGGUGAGCAGAUUUAUGCAUGACCCGAGAUCAAGUCAUUUAGAUGUUGUGCACAGAAUAGUAAGAUAUCUUAAAGGUUGUCCGGGAAGAGGGAUUCUAUUUUCUAAUCAUGGACACUUAAAAGUAGAGGGUUUUACUGAUGCUGAUUGGGCUGGGUGCCUAGACGAUAGAAGGUCUACAUCUGGCUACUGUGUUUUCGUUGGUGGUAAUCUUGUUAGUUGGAGGAGCAAAAAACAAAGUGUGGUGGCACGAUCUACUGCUGAAGCAGAGUUUAGAUCCAUGGCUUCAGGACUAUGUGAAUUGAUGUGGUUGAGGAUACUAUUAUCUGAACUUAGGCUUUUUGAUGGAGGACCACUGCAACUUUUUUGUGAUAACCAGGCUGUAAUCAAGUUAAUACACAAUCCAGUCCAGCAUGAUAGAACUAAACACAUCGAAAUUGAUAGACAUUUCAUAAGAGAAAAGCUAGACGAGGGACUUCUCCAAGUUGACUUUGUUAGAUCUGAAAAUCAACUUGCAGAUGUAUUAACAAAGGGUGUUAGUGUUGUAUCUUUUGAAAAACUAUGUAGCAAGAUGGGGCUCAUAAAUAUAUUUGCCCCAUCUUGA
rnacentral:rRNA from 1 species